rnacentral:tRNA from 1 species
GCACCUCGCUUACACCGAGAAGAUAUCUGUGCGACUCGGAUCAUUUUGA